AGAAAAGUUAUAGGCAUAUUACAACAUGAAACACUCAAUAACAGAGAAUGCCAGAUUAUGGAUUAUCGAAAGAGGUUCAUCAAGCACUGUAGUGAUGUUCGGCUCAGGAAAUUUCUGCGUUUCUGCACAGGAGCUGACCUCCUUGUUGCAAGGUUUAUUCAUGUCCGAUUUGUGCAGCCACAAAGUUCCUUCACAAGAUCUCCCCAGUCCCACACCUGUGGAUGUGUGUUAGAAGUUCCAAACAAUUAUACUUCAUACCCUGAGCUUGCAGAGGAGUUCAUAAAUAUCCUUGAUGCAAACAUAUGGGUGAUGGAUAUUGUGUAAAGGUGGUCAGACAGUAUGUGACUGUUUCUUUGUCUCAUUCACAGUCUCCAUCUCACACUCAGUUUCCUGACAUAAACUUAUUUUUGUUGUUAUUUUUGUUAUCCUGCACAUCAAGAUAAUGUUUCAUAAAAGCUCAGAUGUUCUUACAGCAGUGUUACAAUGUGGCAUAUGUGUUACAAACUACAAAGCACAUACAGAUUCACAUUUAGUUUUAAUGUAGGCCUACUCAGGUUUUCAAAAUUUAUACUGUCUUAAUAGAAUUCUGCAAUACAGUACAUUGUAAAAAAGUUUCAUGUUUGAAAUGUUGAAAUUUUAUUUAUUAGAAGUUCAUUAAUUAGAAACUGAAUACAGUUUUCAAAAAUAAAGAAAAAGAAAAAAGAAAGCUGUCUCCUUUUAUUAAAAUAUGCAUAUGAAGUAGGCCUAUUCAAGACUUCAGCAAUAACAUUAAUGACAUAUCUACUACAUCUGUGAAAUGAAUGGAACUAUAAUAAUAAUAAUCCAAUGAGAGAACUGUCUGUUAAACUGUCCAUUACAACUUUUUAGUGCUAAUGGCUUUUUAACAUGUCUUUAUCUC